AGUCCCCGCCGCUCUGGCCACAGCUGCGGUCCCAAAGGGUACCGGCCCCGCCACCUCAGGAAGCCGAAGAUGCCGAGCCUGUGCUGCAGAAACACCAGCACCACUUUCUCGCGGGCGGCCAAGUCAGAGCCCUCGUACGAAGAAGCAGCGCCCACGAUGAAGGCGCCUCCCGGGAACCAGACCAUCACCUGGACGAAGAAGGCCGGGAUCUGAGCGGGGCGGUGGGCGGCGGUGGGACCGCGGGCGCGGGAGACCUGGCACUCACUGGCAGCUGGGGAUCCCCGGGCGCGCGCGCCGGCGCGUACACGUUCAGGUACAGACAGUCCUCGCUGAAGCGCAGCCACUUGUACCGUUCCCGCGUGCUGACGUACAUCGAGGCCAGCUGGCCCCAGGACUCCUGCAGGCACCUGCGGGCACCAGGUAGCGGCGGCGGCCGCGGGGAGAUCGUUUCAAUCCAGGGUCCGCAGUGAGAAGACGGAACCCAAAGCAAAAUCCAGGCAGCGUCUGUGCGCGUGCGUGUGCGUGCGCAUGUGCGUGCGUGUGCGUGUACAGGAGGCCUCCGCCAGCCCCGGGGCCCAGGACUGGGAGGCAGGUUGGCCUCUCAGGAACCAUCCCCUCCCUGCCCGGCGCCUCAGUCCGUGGAGAGAUUCCUGCUCCUGUUGGUGCUGUCAAGGCAGGAACCUGCCUGCCCUGGGCACCUCCCUGUCUUUCAUGCCCCACCCUCCCCUCAGUCUCCCUUCUGCCUCCCAAACAGCUCUGGAAUAUGGUCCCUCCCCUCCAUCCCCAUCUCUGGGGAGAUGUCAAGGCCACCACCGUCUCUGGUCUGGACAGUACCCCAGCCUCUUCACACUCCUCCUACUCCUCGGCCACACUCUGGCGGACUAUGUCACUCCUCUUCUUCAUAUCUUCCCUAAUAUGUACAACUAUGAUAUAUCAAUAAAAACAAACAAAUCAACAAAAA
ensembl:lncRNA novel transcript, antisense to CES4A